AUGACGUCAAAUCAGCAUGGUUCUUACACCUUGGGCUACACACGUGCUACAAUGGGAGGUACAGAGGGAUGCCAAACCGCGAGGUGGAGCAAAUCCCAAAAAACCUUUCUCAGUUCGGAUCGGAGUCUGCAAUUCGACUCCGUGAAGCUGGAAUCGCUAGUAAUCGUAGGUCAGCUAUACUACGGUGAAUACGUUCUCGGGUCUUGUACUCACAAAAUCUGCGCCGGGCAGGUUAAUUUACCAAGUGGUUAAAAUCCACUCCUCC
rnacentral:ncRNA from 1 species